rnacentral:rRNA from 1 species
AAUAGAUACCCAGGUAGUCCACGCCGUAAACGAUGUCGACUUGGAGGUUGUUCCCUUGAGGAGUGGCUUCCGGAGCUAACGCGUUAAGUCGACCGCCUGGGGAGUACGGCCGCAAGGUUAAAACUCAAAUGAAUUGACGGGGGCCCGCACAAGCGGUGGAGCAUGUGGUUUAAUUCGAUGCAACGCGAAGAACCUUACCUACUCUUGACAUCCACGGAACUUAGCAGAGAUGCUUUGGUGCCUUCGGGAACCGUGAGACAGGUGCUGCAUGGCUGUCGUCAGCUCGUGUUGUGAAAUGUUGGGUUAAGUCCCGCAACGAGCGCAACCCUUAUCCUUUGUUGCCAGCGGUUAGGCCGGGAACUCAAAGGAGACUGCCAGUGAUAAACUGGAGGAAGGUGGGGAUGACGUCAAGUCAUCAUGGCCCUUACGAGUAGGGCUACACACGUGCUACAAUGGCGCAUACAAAGAGAAGCGACCUCGCGAGAGCAAGCGGACCUCAUAAAGUGCGUCGUAGUCCGGAUUGGAGUCUGC